UACGUAAAAUGGUCCCAGACCCACUCGU
rnacentral:sRNA from 1 species